GAUGAACGCUAGCGGCAGGCUUAAUACAUGCAAGUCGAGGGGCAUCGCAGGUAGCAAUACUGGGCGGCGACCGGCAAACGGGUGCGGAACACGUACACAACUUUCCUUUAAGCGGGGAAUAGCCCAGAGAAAUUUGGAUUAAUACCCCAUAGUAUGGUGAUGAGGCAUCUUAUUAUCAUUAAAGAUUUAUCACUUAAAGAUGGGUGUGCGUCUGAUUAGGUAGUUGGCGGGGUAACGGCCCACCAAGCCAAUGAUCAGUAACUGGUGUGAGAGCACGACCAGUCACACGGGCACUGAGACACGGGCCCGACUCCUACGGGAGGCAGCAGUAAGGAAUAUUGGUCAAUGGACGCAAGUCUGAACCAGCCAUGCCGCGUGGAGGAUGAAGGUCCUCUGGAUUGUAAACUUCUUUUAUCUGGGAAGAAAUGCAUUUUUUCUAAAGUGUUUGACGGUACCAGAUGAAUAAGCACCGGCUAACUCCGUGCCAGCCGCCGCGGUAAGAC
rnacentral:rRNA from 1 species